AUUGAACGCUGGCGGCAGGCCUAACACAUGCAAGUCGAACGGUAACAGGAAACAGCUUGCUGUUUCGCUGACGAGUGGCGGACGGGUGAGUAAUGUCUGGGAAACUGCCUGAUGGAGGGGGAUAACUACUGGAAACGGUAGCUAAUACCGCAUAACGUCGCAAGACCAAAGAGGGGGACCUUCGGGCCUCUUGCCAUCGGAUGUGCCCAGAUGGGAUUAGCUAGUAGGUGGGGUAACGGCUCACCUAGGCGACGGUCCCUAGCUGGUCUGAGAGGAUGACCAGACACACUGGAACUGAGACACGGUCCAGACUCCUACGGGAGGCAGCAGUGGGGAAUAUUGCACAAUGGGCGCAAGCCUGAUGCAGCCAUGCCGCGUGUAUGAAGAAGGCCUUCGGGU
rnacentral:rRNA from 1 species